rnacentral:rRNA from 1 species
UACGUAGGGUGCGAGCGUUGUCCGGAAUUAUUGGGCGUAAAGGGCCCGUAGGCGGUCUGUUGCGUCGGGAGUGAAAACUCAGGGCUUAACCCUGAGCCUGCUUCCGAUACGGGCAGACUAGAGGUAUGCAGGGGAGAACGGAAUCCCUGGUGUAGCGGUGAAAUGCGCAGAUAUCAGGAGUAACACCGGUGGCGAAGGCGGUUCUCUGGGCAUUACCUGACGCUGAGGAGCGAAAGUGUGGGGAGCGAACAGG